rnacentral:rRNA from 1 species
AUUGAACGCUGGCGGCAGGCCUAACACAUGCAAGUCGAACGAGUGGCGGACGGGUGAGUAAUGUCUGGGAAACUGCCUGAUGGAGGGGGAUAACUACUGGAAACGGUAGAUAAUACCGCAUACUAUCAGAUGAGCCUAGGUCGGAAUAGCUAGGUGGUGGGGUAAAGGCCUACCAGGGCGACGCUCCGUAACUGGUCUGAGAGGAUGAUCAGUAACCCUGGAACUGAGACCCGGUCCAGACUCCUACGGUAUGCAGCAGUGGGGAAUAUUGUCCAAUGGGCGAAAGCCUGAUGCAGCCAUGCCGCGUGUAUGAAGAAGGCCUUCGGGUUGUAAAGUACUUUCAGCGGGGAGGCGUUACCCGCAGAAGAAGCACCGGCUAACUCCGUGCCAGCAGCCGCGGUAAUAC